UUUAUUUUCACCUUUUUUUUUUUGGCAUUGCUUUAUUUCACCCAAACAAUACUAGAGAGUUAGUUGCGGGUUUCAUUUUCUUGCUUCUCUGUUUCUUUCUUUGACUUAUUAGCGGAGCUGGGUUUAGACUUCUUUGCUUUUUAUGCGAGUUAUCUCAUAUGACCUGUAAUUACCCUUUUUUUUAAUUAUUUAAAUUAUAAUUUUUGGGUUUUUUUUUUGUUCCACUUAUUUCGUUUGGUAUGAUCAGUCUUGUAACUGUUAUUUGAAGGUUUGCUUGUUUUGAAUUGAUGCAUGGCAUUCUGACUCUCUAUCUCUCUUUAAUUUUUGCUGCCCUGUUAAAAGACUUAUUUCUUUGUUUGAUUCUAGCUUGCUGUAUGUUUGCUUAGAAAUCUGAGAGAAAGGAGCAGAAAGCAAAAUUUCCCGGCUGAUUAAAAUUUUUAAAAUUGAGAAAUCUAAGUUCUUUUCUUCCAUUGCAAUUUUUAAACAAGCAAAAGGGUUACUUUCUUUUAUCUGCCUUUGAUUAUUUACUUGAUUGAGGUAAUUUCGGUUGUUAAACGCUGACCCACAUUUUUCUUUUAAGUUGAGAAGUCCUUUUACAAUUAUUAUGAGCUUAACUUCUUAUUUGUUGAUCUUACUCUUUCUGAUUGUCAAACAGGGUAGUUAGUUUGGAAUAAUGACGAGGGUAAGCCGUGGUUUUGGAGAUACUAUGCAUAAAGAUGCUGUCCCAGCUGUAUCAGCUGACGUUGUGUUUGCUACAAGUCGCUUUCCUAAUUACAAACUUGGAGCAAACAGUCAGAUUUUGGAUACAAAGCAUGACCCAAAAGUACUGUCCAUGAAGGAGGUUGUGGCCCGCGAGACUGCAAUGCUUUUGGAACAGCAGAAACGCCUCUCUGUUCGUGACCUUGCCAGUAAAUUUGAGAAGGGGUUGGCUGCUGCAGCUAAGCUUUCUGAAGAGGCUCGACUCAGAGAGGCAGCUUCAUUGGAAAAACAUGUUCUUUUGAAGAAGCUUAGGGAUGCACUAGAAUCGUUAAGAGGGCGUGUGGCAGGCAGAAACAAGGAUGAUGUAGACGAGGCUAUUGCGAUGGUUGAAGCUUUAGCAGUUCAACUGACUCAAAGGGAAGGAGUGUUGAUUCAAGAAAAAGCAGAAGUGAAGAAGCUAGCUAAUUUUCUUAAGCAGGCUUCAGAAGAUGCCAGGAAACUUGUUGAUGAGGAAAGAGCUUUUGCUCGUGCAGAAAUUGAGAGUGCUAGAGCAGCAGUUCAAAGGGUGGAAGAAGCCCUUCAGGAACAUGAACGGAUGUCUCGAGCUUCAGGGAAGCUGGAUCUGGAGGAAUUAAUGAAGGAGGUUCAAGUGGCUAGAAGGAUCAAAAUGUUGCAUCAGCCAAGCAAGGUUAUGGACAUGGAAAAUGAGCUACAGGCACUGAGGAUUCAACUUGCAGAGAAGUCUAAACGUUCUCUUCUACUUCAGAAAGAGUUGGCAAGGAGCAAGAGAGCUGAUCAGAACAUAUCCCAAUCAUAUGAAUUAGAUGGCUUUGAAGCUUUAGGUUCAUAUUUACAGAUCAAUCCUUGCUCUGAUAAUUCUCCAGAACUUUCUAAGUGUUUAAUUCAGUGGUAUCGUGUGUCAUCUGAAGGUGGCAAGAAGGAACUUAUAUCAGGAGCAACCAAAUCAGUUUAUGCUCCAGAGCCUUUCGAUGUUGGGCGAGUCCUGCAAGUGGAAAUUAUUGCUGAUGGACAGCAAGUCACGUUGACUACCACGGGUGCAAUUGAUCCUGCCGCUGGUCUGGGGAGCUACGUGGAGGCGCUUGUGCGGAAACAUGAUGUUGAAUUCAAUGUAGUUGUUACCCAGAUGAAUGGUGUAGAUCAUAAAUCAGAAUCUAUUCAUGUGGUUCAUGUGGGAAAGAUGAGGAUGAAGCUUUGUAGAGGAAAGACGACAGUUGCUAAAGAGUACUACUCCACUUUAAUGCAGCUAUGUGGAGUUAGAGGAGGUGGGAAUGCUGCAACACAGGCCUUGUAUUGGCAAGUGAAUAAAGGGCUCUCCUUUGUGUUAGCAUUUGAAUCAGAGAGAGAAAGAAAUGCAGCCGUUAUGCUUGCAAGGAGGUUUGCCUUUGAUUGCAAUAUCAUUCUUGCUGGGCCUGAUGACAGAUCUCCCUUAGGAACAUAAAUGACUCCCAUGGUAUUCCAUUUCACUAAUUGUAAUUAUUAUGUUGAGUUUCAUCUUGUAUUAUAGGUUUGUAAUAGUAGGAUUUGGCAUGUCCUAUUGUGUUAUGGGCUUCCACCAUUCUUUUUUCCUUCAAUUUCUUUUUUGUUUCUUUCUUCUCCUGCUCCAACACCAAGGCAUCUUUUUUGGUUUGCCUUUUUUGUAUGAGUGUAACAUAUUCUCCAUUACAGAUGGAGAUUGAUUGCAGCUGUAUGUAAUACCUAUAAAAAAUAACAGCAGGUGUUGCAAGAUUUAUGUAUUAUGACCAAUACAUAAUUGAUGUUUGCUACAAGAGAAGAUGGUUCUGUAUUUUCCUAGAAUAAUCAUUAUUUCUUUUCUGGUAUUUUAUAAUGGAAUGAAAUGGAA
rnacentral:misc_RNA from 1 species